AGUAUGGUGAGAUAUCAUGCAUGUGAUUAUGUUAGGUCACAAAGCAAAAGGGAUUCUUGUGAGAGGUAAUUAAGGUUACAAAUUAAAUAAACUUGAGUAAUCAAAAGGGAUAUCCAAGUGAGCCCAAGCUGAUUACAUGAGACUUUUAAAAGCAGUAGAGUUUUGUCCAGUUGGAAGCAUAAGAAAUCCGAGACAUUGAAAGAAUAAGGACAUGGUGUGCCACCGAUGCAUUGAAGUUGGUGGGGCGAUGCCAGAAGGAAUAUGAGCAGCCUCUGAGAGAAGAAGCCAGCCUUUCUUUAGCAGUCAUCAAGGAAAUGAAGACCUCAGGCCUGCAUCCACAAGGAACUACAUUCUGAAAACAGCCUGGAUAAUCGUGGAAAAGGAUUCUUCCCCAGAACCUCCAGUACCAGCCAUAAACUCGUCUCAGUUUGGCUUUACAUUACUUCGUUUCCUGCAGCUGGCAUUGGCUGAGAAUAGGGAAGCCUUCAUGAAGAAAGCAGCAUGGCAUCUGGCCUUUGAAGGAUGGACAGAAUUUGGUCAUAUGAAAAUUGGUGUGAAGGGAGGGAAGAACAUUUCUUACAGAAGCUCUUCAGAUGGCUCGUGGGGUAUAAGGAGGACCUACUCACUGUGUGACACAGGAAAAAAGGGAAUUUCCUGGCUUCUGACAUGCCCCUGGGUGUGUCCUGACUGCCAUCUGAGGUGUGCACAUUCUGCAGUGUCUACAUUUAACCUUGGUGUCUGUAGAACUGUAGUCUUCUCUUUCUCCUUGGCUCUGCCAGGGCUGGGGCACCCCUCCACAUGCAGUGUUUUUGCCGCUGUCUUCGGUAUGGCAUCUGCCUCUGAGCUCAUGUCCUGUCCCCUCUAGGUCCUGGAUGAGGCUACCAUCCCUGAGUAUCUCACCACAGCACAGCAGGCCCCGUGGAAAGCCCUCUAGCUCUAAACUCAGCAUGUGGGCCAAAUUGGAAUGGAAAUAGCUCUGUAGAAUUCCUUGCUGAUUCUUUCUAUCUGACCCAAACUGCCCUGACCAAUUAUACUCUUUGUUGGUGCAAACUCAGCCUGUGGAGCAAUAGAAAAAGAAUAAUUCAAAGUAUUUAAAAUUAUUCAAAUAUCACUCCUAUACAACAAUAACAGAAGGAAGAAAUGAAAGCCGAAAAGAAGGAGGAAAAGGUUAAUGAAACACCCCCCACUAUCUCACAAAAGAACCAGUUCACAUAAAGGAACUUAACAUGGUCAGUUGGAACAUGGAAUGAGCCCCAGCACCAUUAGUAAUCACAGCAAUAAAAAGUAAAAUAGCAAUGAGAUCUCA
rnacentral:lncRNA from 13 species